rnacentral:misc_RNA from 1 species
AGCAGCCGCGGUAAUUCCAGCUCCAAUAGCGUAUAUUAAAGUUGUUGCAGUUAAAAAGCUCGUAGUUGAAUUUCGGGAUCAAAGGAUCGGUCAUGCCUUGGUAUGUACUGGUUUUAUUGGUUCUCACCUUCUAAAGAACCAUAAUGUCAUUCAUUUGAUGUUAUGGGGAAUUAGGACUGUUACCUUGAAAAAUUAGAGUGUUUAAAGCAAGGCUUACGCUUGAAUACAUUAGCAUGGAAUAAUGAAAUAGGACAUCAGAUUCUAUUUUGUUGGUUUCUAGGAUCGAUGUAAUGAUUAAUAGGGAUAGUUGGGGGCAUUAGUAUUCAAUUGUCAGAGGUGAAAUUCUUGGAUUUAUUGAAGACUAACUACUGCGAAAGCAUUUGCCAAGGAUGUUUUCAUUAAUCAAGAACGAAAGUUAGGGGAUCGAAGACGGUCAGAUACCGUCGUAGUCUUAACCAUAAACUAUGCCGACUAGGGAUCGGAUGAUGUUAAUUUUAUAAUGACUCAUUCGGCUACCCG